GCUGGGCAUGGUGGUGGGCGCCUGUAAUCCCAGCUACUUGGGAGGCUGAGGCAGGAGAAUUGCUUGAACCUGGGAGGUGUAGGUUGCAGUGAGCCAAGAUUGUGCCACUGUACCCUAGCCUGGGUGACAGAGCAAGACUGUGUCUCAA
ensembl:misc_RNA Metazoa_SRP Metazoan signal recognition particle RNA